rnacentral:rRNA from 1 species
AGAGUUUGAUCAUGGCUCAGAUUGAACGCUGGCGGCAGGCCUAACACAUGCAAGUCGAACGGUAACAGAAAGAAGCUUGCUGCUUUGCUGACGAGUGGCGGACGGGUGAGUAAUGUCUGGGAAACUGCCUGAUGGAGGGGGAUAACUACUGGAAACGGUAGCUAAUACCGCAUAACGUCGCAAGACCAAAGAGGGGGACCUUCGGGCCUCUUGCCAUCGGAUGUGCCCAGAUGGGAUUAGCUUGUUGGUGGGGUAACGGCUCACCAAGGCGACGAUCCCUAGCUGGUCUGAGAGGAUGACCAGCCACACUGGAACUGAGACACGGUCCAGACUCCUACGGGAGGCAGCAGUGGGGAAUAUUGCACAAUGGGCGCAAGCCUGAUGCAGCCAUGCCGCGUGUAUGAAGAAGGCCUUCGGGUUGUAAAGUACUUUCAGCGGGGAGGAAGGGAGUAAAGUUAAUACCUUUGCUCAUUGACGUUACCCGCAGAAGAAGCACCGGCUAACUCCGUGCCAGCAGCCGCGGUAAUACGGAGGGUGCAAGCGUUAAUCGGAAUUACUGGGCGUAAAGCGCACGCAGGCGGUUUGUUAAGUCAGAUGUGAAAUCCCCGGGCUCAACCUGGGAACUGCAUCUGAUACUGGCAAGCUUGAGUCUCGUAGAGGGGGGUAGAAUUCCAGGUGUAGCGGUGAAAUGCGUAGAGAUCUGGAGGAAUACCGGUGGCGAAGGCGGCCCCCUGGACGAAGACUGACGCUCAGGUGCGAAAGCGUGGGGAGCAAACAGGAUUAGAUACCCUGGUAGUCCACGCCGUAAACGAUGUCGACUUGGAGGUUGUGCCCUUGAGGCGUGGCUUCCGGAGCUAACGCGUUAAGUCGACCGCCUGGGGAGUACGGCCGCAAGGUUAAAACUCAAAUGAAUUGACGGGGGCCCGCACAAGCGGUGGAGCAUGUGGUUUAAUUCGAUGCAACGCGAAGAACCUUACCUGGUCUUGACAUCCACGGAAGUUUUCAGAGAUGAGAAUGUGCCUUCGGGAACCGUGAGACAGGUGCUGCAUGGCUGUCGUCAGCUCGUGUUGUGAAAUGUUGGGUUAAGUCCCGCAACGAGCGCAACCCUUAUCCUUUGUUGCCAGCGGUCCGGCCGGGAACUCAAAGGAGACUGCCAGUGAUAAACUGGAGGAAGGUGGGGAUGACGUCAAGUCAUCAUGGCCCUUACGACCAGGGCUACACACGUGCUACAAUGGCGCAUACAAAGAGAAGCGACCUCGCGAGAGCAAGCGGACCUCAUAAAGUGCGUCGUAGUCCGGAUUGGAGUCUGCAACUCGACUCCAUGAAGUCGGAAUCGCUAGUAAUCGUGGAUCAGAAUGCCACGGUGAAUACGUUCCCGGGCCUUGUACACACCGCCCGUCACACCAUGGGAGUGGGUUGCAAAAGAAGUAGGUAGCUUAACCUUCGGGAGGGCGCUUACCACUUUGUGAUUCAUGACUGGGGUGAAGUCGUAACAAGGUAACCGUAGGGGAACCUGCGGUUGGAUCACCU